rnacentral:rRNA from 1 species
GUGAACGCUGGCGGCGUGCCUAAGACAUGCCAGUCGCGCGGGCCGCGGGGUUUUACUCCGUGGUCAGCGGCGGACGGGUGAGUAACGCGUGGGUGACCUACCCGGAAGAGGGGGACAACCCGGGGAAACUCGGGCUAAUCCCCCAUGUGGACCCGCCCCUUGGGGUGUGUCCAAAGGGCUUUGCCCGCUUCCGGAUGGGCCCGCGUCCCAUCAGCUAGUUGGUGGGGUAAUGGCCCACCAAGGCGACGACGGGUAGCCGGCCUGAGAGGGUGGCCGGCCACAGGGGCACUGAGACACGGGCCCCAAUCCUACGGGAGGCAGCAGUUAGGAAUCUUCCGCAAUGGGCGCAAGCCUGACGGAGCGACGCCGCUUGGAGGAAGAAGCCCUGCGGGGUGUAAACUCCUGAACCCGGGACGAAACCCCCGACGAGGGGACUGACGGUACCGGGGUAAUAGCGCCGGCCAACUCCGUG